rnacentral:rRNA from 1 species
UACGGAGGGUGCGAGCGUUGUCCGGAAUCACUGGGCGUAAAGGGCGCGUAGGCGGCUCAUGAAGGCUGUGGUGAAAGUCCGGGGCUCAACCUCGGAUCGGCCGUGGCGACUCGUGGGCUGGAGCACUGUAGAGGCGGGUGGAAUUCCGGGUGUAGCGGUGGAAUGCGUAGAGAUCCGGAAGAACACCAGUGGCGAAGGCGGCCCGCUGGGCAGUGGGCUGACGCUGAAGCGCGACAGCGUGGGGAGCAAACAGG